AUUGAACGCUGGCGGCAUGCCUAACACAUGCAAGUCGAACGGUAACGCGGAGAGCUUGCUCUCUGGCGACGAGUGGCGGACGGGUGAGUAAUACUUGGGAAUCUGCCCAGUAGUGGGGGACAACAUUCGGAAACGGAUGCUAAUACCGCAUACGCACUACGGUGGAAAGUGGGGGAUCUUCGGACCUCACGCUAUUGGAUGAGCUCAAGUCGGAUUAGCUUGUAGGUAGGGUAACGGCCUACCUAGGCGACGAUCCGUAGCUGGUCUGAGAGGACGAUCAGCCACACUGGGACUGAGACACGGCCCAGACUCCUACGGGAGGCAGCAGUGGGGAAUAUUGGACAAUGGGCGCAAGCCUGAUCCAGCAAUGCCGCGUGUGUGAAGAAGGCCUGCGGGUUGUAAAGCACUUUCAGUAGAGAAGAAAAGCCUAGGGUUAAUACCCCUGAGUCUUGACGUAACCUACAGAAGAAGCACCGGCUAACUCCGUG
rnacentral:rRNA from 1 species